ACGUGGGUGAUCUGCCUCGCACUUCGGGAUAAGCCUGGGAAACUGGGUCUAAUACCGGAUAUGACCUGCCGAUGCAUGCUGGGGGGUGGAAAGAUUUAUCGGUGCGAGAUGGGCCCGCGGCCUAUCAGCUUGUUGGCGGGGUAACGGCCCACCAAGGCGACGACGGGUAGCCGACCUGAGAGGGUGACCGGCCACACUGGGACUGAGACACGGCCCAGACUCCUACGGGAGGCAGCAGUGGGGAAUAUUGCACAAUGGGCGAAAGCCUGAUGCAGCGACGCCGCGUGGAGGAUGACGGCCUUCGGGUUGUAAACUCCUUUCGACAGGGACGAAGCGCAAGUGACGGUACCUGUAGAAGAAGCACCGGCCAACUACGUGCCAGCAGCCGCGGUAAUACGUAGGGUGCGAGCGUUGUCCGGAAUUACUGGGCGUAAAGAGCUUGUAGGCGGUUUGUCGCGUCUUCUGUGAAAACUUGGGGCUCAACCUUAAGCUUGCAGGCGAUACGGGCAGACUAGAGUACUUCAGGGGAGACUGGAAUUCCUGGUGUAGCGGUGAAAUGCGCAGAUAUCAGGAGGAACACCGGUGGCGAAGGCGGGUCUCUGGGAAGUAACUGACGCUGAGAAGCGAAAGCAUGGGUAGCGAACAGGAUUAGAUACCCUGGUAGUCCAUGCCGUAAACGGUGGGUACUAGGUGUGGGUUUCCUUCCACGGGAUCCGUGCCGUAGCUAACGCAUUAAGUACCCCGCCUGGGGAGUACGGCCGCAAGGCUAAAACUCAAAGAAAUUGACGGGGGCCCGCACAAGCGGCGGAGCAUGUGGAUUAAUUCGAUGCAACGCGAAGAACCUUACCUGGGUUUGACAUACACCGGAAACCUGCAGAGAUGUAGGCCCCCUUGUGGUCGGUGUACAGGUGGUGCAUGGCUGUCGUCAGCUCGUGUCGUGAGAUGUU
rnacentral:rRNA from 1 species